ACGGGUGAGUAACACGUGAGUAACCUGCCCUUGACUCUGGGAUAAGCGUUGGAAACGACGUCUAAUACCGGAUACGAGCUUCCACCGCAUGGUGAGUUGCUGGAAAGAAUUUUGGUCAAGGAUGGACUCGCGGCCUAUCAGCUUGUUGGUGAGGUAAUGGCUCACCAAGGCGACGACGGGUAGCCGGCCUGAGAGGGUGACCGGCCACACUGGGACUGAGACACGGCCCAGACUCCUACGGGAGGCAGCAGUGGGGAAUAUUGCACAAUGGGCGAAAGCCUGAUGCAGCAACGCCGCGUGAGGGACGACGGCCUUCGGGUUGUAAACCUCUUUUAGCAGGGAAGAAGCGAAAGUGACGGUACCUGCAGAAAAAGCACCGGCUAACUACGUGCCAGCAGCCGCGGUAAUACGUAGGGUGCAAGCGUUGUCCGGAAUUAUUGGGCGUAAAGAGCUCGUAGGCGGUUUGUCGCGUCUGCUGUGAAAUCCCGAGGCUCAACCUCGGGUCUGCAGUGGGUACGGGCAGACUAGAGUGCGGUAGGGGAGAUUGGAAUUCCUGGUGUAGCGGUGGAAUGCGCAGA
rnacentral:rRNA from 1 species